ensembl:lncRNA
AUUAUCUUUUCUAGAUUAUAUAAAUGUAUCAGAAGAUGACCAGAAAUUAAGAGAGACAGUGAAAGUGUACGUAUGUAUAGAAAUGAGGGAUGGGCUGGUCCAGUUCCCUGAUGAGAUACAGGCUUUUUUAGAGGACUUGAACAUCCACUGUCUUCUGAUGGAGCUUUGGAUACUAAAUGCUUCUUAAAAUUGGGCCGAUAAUGCUUUACUUGAACCAGAAUGGAGUCUUCAGUCCAAUGUUAGAUCUUUCCACAAGCCUGGAAUGCUUCAAAGGCUCCACAGUGCCCUUGUGGCUAAGACAAAUGAAUUAUGAGCUACAAAGUCCAGUCUCAUCCUGCUCUGCUUAGAAGGAUUGUGGAUUCCACGAUAUGAAGACUAAAGGGAGGGUGAAACAGAAGGCUUUUCAGGGCUCUAAGUGCCAGAGAAUAUCUCCACCCAAAGAGAAAUGAGAAUGGAUAUUUGUAGAUAUAAGGCCAGAAGGGACCACUGUGGUCCUCUAACGUGACAUCCUGCAUAACACAGACCAUAAAACUUUCCUAAAUUAAUUAUUAUUUGAACUAGUGCAUAUCUUUUAGAAAAACAUCCAAUCUUGGUUUUAAAAUGGUCAGUGAUAGAGAAUCUACUACAACCCUUGGUUAAAAUGUAGUCCAUUACUGACUGCCACAUUUUGUUGCCAUCUUUUCAGUUAUCCUUUGAUAUCCUGUACAAUUGUAAUAGUAAAAUAAUAAUCAUUUUUCCUAUUGCAGAAUUGCAGGAAAAGAAGUAACUGCAAAGGCCAUUUACUUUCUUACCUUUGGACUCUACUUGGUUAAAAGCUUUACCCAGCAACGAUUAGAUAUAGUAGGAGUUAAAAGGGAAAUGGAUUUUCACAAGUACCAAUUCAACAUAAUGAGAAGCAUCACUUACUGUGAAAAAUUCAAUGUUUACUUUGUACUGAGAAGAGACUAUGCACUUAAGGUGUAUAAUAAGGAUUAUGAAGAGAUCUGCUCAGUAGAGAACGUGGAGUCAUGUCUGUUGACACUUAUGGUAUUCAAUCCUGUGAGCGAUGAACUCAUUACAGGAGGACUCAAAGGCAUAAAGUUCUGGAAGUUUAAAGAAACAGAGAGUACAGAUUACUCUGAUGCAGUUCACAUGUCCAAUUACAAGCUAUUCCCCAGUGCAGAAUUCCCACACAUGAGGCAAAUCUGGUGUACAAAUAUGGAGUUUGAUGUCAAUAUGCAAAGACUUUAUUGCUUUUCUAAUUGCGAUCUCUUCUGCUAUGAUACCAAAGGGAAUAUACUGUUUCAGCUAACCAAUGCCCACCGAAGUACCAUUCUCUCCUGCGUCUAUUCAUCAUACUCCAAUGCUUUGCUUACCUCCUCCAGGGACUCUGAAAUAAAAUCUUGGAAUGACCAGGGCUGUUUGUUGCAUGUGUUUCAUGGCCAUACGAGGUCUGUCACACACCUCCUCCUCCAUCCAAACACUUUGUCUUUAUUUAUCUCUGGAUCUUUGGAUGGGACAGUGAAACUCUGGUCCCUGGAUACAAUGGAGCUGUUUUACAGUUUAUCGUUGUUCACUGAAGGAAUUGUUUGGAUGGGCCUGACUGAGGAUAAGUUGCUGUACUGCUCUUCUGCCCGCAAUCUUCAUGUGUAUGACUUGAACUGUUUUACCAAAUUCUGGACUCAUGUCAGCAGUCAGAUUAAAGCUCUGUCCCUCUGUGGUGCCAAUGGGAAAUCCAGCAGGGUGGUAGCUAUGGGUUCUGAUAACAGUUUACGAAUUUUCUCUCUGCAUAAUGGGACAAAGUUAUGUACCGUGCUGCCGCCUCCCUAUCCUUCUCCGCUCCAGUCAGUUCUCAGCUUUGCCUAUAAUCGAACCAAUGGAACAAUUUACUUCCUCCUGACUUCUUGGGAUAUAUGGGUCUACACAGCGAGGUACUACAUCCAUUUUGCUAAGCAUUUACUGCUUUCUAGCCUGUCUUUAUUGCCUACUUUUCUCACUCUGUUGUAUUUGGAUUUUUUGUUUGUUUUUCUUUUCAUUACAAUAGAUGGGUAGGAUGUUUUGGUAUUAGAUGAAGACAGAGUGUAUUCUUGAAAAUGUUCAAAGUGUUCUACAAAUCUUGAUAUUAAUGAAUAUUGGG